AUUGAACGCUGGCGGCAUGCUUUACACAUGCAAGUCGAACGGUAACAGGCCGCAAGGUGCUGACGAGUGGCGCACGGGUGAGUAAUGCAUCGGAACGUGCCCAGUCGUGGGGGAUAACUACUCGAAAGAGUAGCUAAUACCGCAUACGAUCUAUGGAUGAAAGCGGGGGACCGUAAGGCCUCGCGCGAUUGGAGCGGCCGAUGUCAGAUUAGGUAGUUGGUGGGGUAAAGGCUCACCAAGCCAACGAUCUGUAGCUGGUCUGAGAGGACGACCAGCCACACUGGGACUGAGACACGGCCCAGACUCCUACGGGAGGCAGCAGUGGGGAAUUUUGGACAAUGGGCGCAAGCCUGAUCCAGCAAUGCCGCGUGCAGGAAGAAGGCCUUCGGGUUGUAAACUGCUUUUGUACGGAACGAAACGGCUCUGGUUAAUACCCGGGGCUAAUGACGGCACCGUAAGAAUAAGCACCGGCGAACUACGU
rnacentral:rRNA from 1 species